rnacentral:rRNA from 1 species
CACGUAGGCGGAUAUUUAAGUCAGGGGUGAAAUCCCAGAGCUCAACCCUGGAACUGCCUUUGAUACUGGGUAUCUUGAGUAUGGAAGAGGUAGGUGGAAUUCCGAGUGUAGAGGUGAAAUUCGUAGAUAUUCGGAGGAACACCAGUGGCGAAGGCGGCUUACUGGUCCAUUACUGACGCUGAGGUGCGAAAGCGUGGGGAGCAAACA